rnacentral:rRNA from 1 species
CGACAUCCAUCGGGACUCUUCGCCCACCGAACGAAAAACCACCAUGAAGUUGGCCUUAAGUUCAGUUGGGAUUACCCGUGGAACUUAACCAUAUCAUUAACCGGAGGAAAGGAACCCACCGGGGAUGGCCCCGGAACGGCGGAGGGAACCGCCAGAACUUCAGAUUGGAAUUGGUGUUAUUUUUUUGGCACGAGUUGUAGAGUGUAGGCGGGAGUCUUUGUGGAGCACGGUGUCCAAGUCCCUUGGAACAGGGCGCCUGAGAGGGUGAGAGCCCCGUGGGGUGCCGUGCGAAGCUCUGAGGCCCUGCUGACGAGUCGAGUUGUUUGGGAAUGCAGCUCCAAGUGGGUGGUAAAUUCCAUCUAAGGCUAAAUACUGGCGAGAGACCGAUAGCGAACAAGUACUGUGAAGGAAAGAUGAAAAGCACUUUGAAAAGAGAGUGAAACAGCACGUGAAAUUGUUGAAAGGGAAGGGUAUUGGGCCCGACAUGGGGAGUGCGCACCGCUGUCUCUUGUAGGCGGCGCUCUGGGCGCUCUCUGGGCCAGCAUCGGUUCUUGCUGCGGGAGAAUGGGUGCCGGAAAGUGGCUCUUCGGAGUGUUAUAGCCGGCGCCAGAUACCGCGUGCGGGGACCGAGGACUGCGGCUUCUGUCUCCGAUG